GACGAGGGGUCCUAGCGUUGUUCGGAAUCACUGGGCGUAAAGCGUUUGUAGGCGGCUCUGCAAGUCAGGUGUGAAAGCCCACGGCUCAACCGUGGAAGUGCAUUUGAAACUGCAGAGCUUGAAUAUGGAAGAGGAGAGUAGAAUUCCUGGUGUAGUGGUGAAAUACGUAGAUAUCAGGAGGAAUACCGGUGGCGAAGGCGGCUCUCUGGUCCAAUAUUGACGCUGAGAAACGAAAGUGCGGGGAUCAAACAGG
rnacentral:rRNA from 1 species